rnacentral:tRNA from 2 species
GCGCUUAUAGCUCAGCUGGAUAGAGCGUUGGAUUCCGGUUCCAAAGGCCGGGGGUUCAAAUCCUCCUAAGCGCA